UUACGGCGAUAUCACUUUGAAACACCGGUUUUCGUACGAUCGCCGAAAUUAAGCAACGUUGAAUCUGGUCAGUACCUGGAUGGGUGACCGCUUGGGAAUACCACGUGACGUAA